UAAAGAAGAAUGUUUCCUUUAGGGAAUUUAAAAAAUUCACUCUAGAACUAAGUACAACAAGCUAUUUCAAGUCAGUUUGAGAGAUUUAUUUUCUUGGAACAUUUGACGACACAUCGCGCAUUUUCCCCAGUGCGUUACGGCGCGACAGGUUGUUGUAAGUUCUUUGAAAGCGUUUGUACAUAUUAUCAUGUAACCCCAGAGAUUUCUUCGAGUUGAAAGAUGUUAAAGGAAUGUUUUAGCGUUGACAUCGAUCUCACAUAAAGGUGACGUUUAAUAUAAACUCUUGAAGCAACCAGCCAAAGUAUUGAGAGAAAAGUAUCAAUAUUGGAAGAAAUGGUUUCAUCUGAUGAUUUCCUUUAUGCACGUUGAUCAAUUCUUGACAAAGGAUAUUCUUUUGGUGAUACGAUUUUGCAAAUUGAGUCGAGUUGGAAAAAAAUAGAACACAAUAUUGGAAGGACGAUAGAAGAAGGAACAGAAAGUGGUGUCAAAAAGAUAGGGGUAAAGGAAAAUCAGCGCAUGAAGGCGUUAAGAGGAAUGGAAGACGAUGUCCUUCCGCAUAGGAACCUCUCUGUUGACUGAAGCGACUUGAGUCAACGCCGCACUCACCUACGGUCUGCCGGCACACGUUUUGCUCUGCGCGCUGAGAUGGAAGGGUGGAGAAGAGGAAGUAGAGAGAGGGGGAUGAGAUGAGAGAUAGAGAG